GAUUUUUCGAUUCAAGUCUAUUAGGGUGUCAGAACUGAUAUUGUACUUUUAGAACUUUGAAAACACCGCAUAACUUUUAUUAACAAUAGUUUACUUUUACAACUAUCAAAAUCAUGUUAACCAUUUGAAGGAGAAUAAAGCUAAUUUUUUAGAUUUCGGGAAUUUCGACUUCCGGUUUUACUUCCGGUUUAAAAAUGCCAAAUAAUUCCUUAUUUGUUUGUCUGCCAGAAAAAAAAACUCAUAUUUUCGUGUUCUUCGUCAAAUUUGGGGUUGAUUCCAUGUGUCAACUCAAAAUACCCCGAAAUCGUCAAAAAUCGCACCGACCGACUUUUGGCCUAAAACACGUCAUAACAACCCCAAAUUUGCUAAGGAUCACGAAAAUCCUACUCGUUUUGUUAUGGGCCAACUAUUUCCGGAGAUAUUGGCUACUUCUGGCUAACUCCGGAAAAUUUUCGUGACAAUUUGCAUAACAUAAAAAAUGAGCUGUAUUAUUCUAACAAUUUCAAAUAGUUUUAUUGCGUACGUUUUGGUGGUGCAGCUAUUAUUCCGUGGUUUUUCGCUAUCAAUAGUACAGGCUGACCCUACGAGCAACGACAGUUUAAGCUACAAAUGUUUUAGCGCCUCGUCUUGCAACUAGUACUUGAUAUGCUAGGUUUUUAUGUUUUGAAUUGGAUUCAACUAUUUGAGAUCAGAGGAAAAACUAGAUGGCGUUGAUGUGAGUCUAUGAUAAAUAUUACGGUUAUUUGCAUGAUACACUCGAUCUCGAUUGUUGUUUGAAGGUGUACUGUCACCAGACGUCCUAAUGGUACACCCACUAUCAGCAGCCUUACAGUGUGCUUCAUAAAUAAAUCAACCCCUGAGAUAACAUUAUCGUUGGAAAUUGUGUUUUUGUUGUGGUUUUGUUCUCCACUCUUAUUAUCCAUAUGCAAUUUUCACACUACUUCAUUACCUUCAUGGAGUGAUAUUUUAUCAUCCUGGAAAAAGGAUUCUGGAAAUUGAUGACUUCUAAUAUACAGCUGGCAGAUUACGAGAUUUCAUAUAUUUACAUUUAAGAAUAAGCUUCCAAUUUGAAAUUGGGAUUGUGGGAAAGUAUUGGACUCAUGCUCCGAUGGUCAAGGGUUCGAUCCUAAGUUCCUACAUAUGUUCACGGAAAUAAAUUCAAAAUUGAAAUAUAUGUAAAAAUUUUAUUGUCCCUCCAUCCACCCACAAAUCCACGACAAGUUGUUCUAUUUUGCAAUACAAUACAAUACAACACAAUACAAAUCAUACAUAAAUAAAACUAACCCGUUGGCUGCCACGCCACUAAAUCUACGCUAGCUACAUCGCUAUCUAAUGGAUAGCGUCCAAGGGGGACUUGUCCUGCGACAAAUCCGGGCUGACACGAUGACAGAAGCCUUUGUGAGAAUGUACACUCCAGACAACCAUCAAAGCAUCGAAAAAGGGAAAGUCCCUACUGGUACAUUGCCUCGACGAUCGACUUUGAGCCACACGGCUUGUGCAACUGUCCCACCCAUGGCAUAUAGACCAUUGGGCAGAACAGCGCUGCCGGACCCUAACAAGCU
rnacentral:lncRNA from 1 species